rnacentral:rRNA from 1 species
UACAGAGGUCCCGAGCGUUGUUCGGAUUCACUGGGCGUAAAGGGUGCGUAGGUGGCAUGGUAAGUUUGAUGUGAAAGCUCAGGGCUUAACCCUGAAAUGGCAUUGAAUACUACUGUGCUGGAGGUUUGGAGGGGGGACUGGAAUUCUUGGUGUAGCAGUGAAAUGCGUAGAUGUCAAGAGGAACACCAGUGGCGAAGGCGAGUCCCUGGACAACACCUGACACUGAGGCACGAAAGCUAGGGGAGCAAACAGG